rnacentral:rRNA from 1 species
GACGAACGCUGGCGGCGUGCUUAACACAUGCAAGUCGAACGGAAAGGCCCUGCUUUUGUGGGGUGCUCGAGUGGCGAACGGGUGAGUAACACGUGAGUAACCUGCCCUUGACUUUGGGAUAACUUCAGGAAACUGGGGCUAAUACCGGAUAGGAGCUCCUGCUGCAUGGUGGGGGUUGGAAAGUUUCGGCGGUUGGGGAUGGACUCGCGGCUUACCAGCUUGUUGGUGGGGUAGUGGCUUACCAAGGCUUUGACGGGUAGCCGGCCUGAGAGGGUGACCGGCCACAUUGGGACUGAGAUACGGCCCAGACUCCUACGGGAGGCAGCAGUGGGGAAUAUUGCACAAUGGGCGGAAGCCUGAUGCAGCAACGCCGCGUGCGGGAUGACGGCCUUCGGGUUGUAAACCGCUUUCGCCUGUGACGAAGCGUGAGUGACGGUAAUGGGUAAAGAAGCAUCGGCUAACUACGUG